rnacentral:rRNA from 1 species
GACGAACGCUGGCGGCGUGCUUAACACAUGCAAGUCGAACGGUGAAGCGCCUUCCUUUUUGGUGGGUGUGGAUGAGUGGCGAACGGGUGAGUAACACGUGAGUAACCUGCCCCCUUCUUCUGGAUAACCGCAUGAAAGUGUGGCUAAUACGGGAUAUUCUGGGUCUGUCGCAUGAUGGGUCUGGGAAAGAUAUUGUUUCGGUGGGGGAUGGGCUCGCGGCCUAUCAGCUUGUUGGUGGGGUGAUGGCCUACCAAGGCGGUGACGGGUAGCCGGCCUGAGAGGGUGGACGGUCACACUGGGACUGAGACACGGCCCAGACUCCUACGGGAGGCAGCAGUGGGGAAUAUUGCACAAUGGGCGCAACCCUGAUGCAGCGACGCCGCGUGAGGGAUGGAGGCCUUCGGGUUGUGAACCUCUUUCGCCAGUGAAGCAGGCCUGCCUCGUUUGUGGGUGGGUUGACGGUAGCUGGAUAAGAAGCGCCGGCUAACUACGUG